GUAACCCUGUCGGCUGCCAUUAACGUUAGCUUAAAUUCCUUCAAUGCGUAUUCGGUACCCUGCACCUGAUCAGCCGUGGAAAUGGUAUCCAGCCAAACUCGUUAUGGAUCGCUUGGAAGGUCUGAAGACCUUUGGGGCAGUGGAGGUGGCGCGUGCCAGUCACCUGCUUCGCGAACUGCUUCCACGCUAUCAGAUUCGACGAUCGCCCUCGACUACGGAUGUACAGGCUCGAAUCCUCCGUCCGGGGCAUUUUUUCAUUACGCUGAACAGUUUGUGAGACCGGUAUCUAGCGGUGAUGAUGAAUAAGUCCAUUACCUCGCGCCGAAAACCCGAAGUACACCAACAAUGCCUACUGAUCCAAUAUCUCCCCUACAUGCAAAGACGCCGUGACAACUACACAAUACACAAAAAUGAGGCAACCGCCGUUAAAUUUAGCCAGACAGACGCGGGCGCUAAAAAUGAAGUGGACAUAGAUGCUUUUCCGGGCAGCGAGCGCGGUUUAAUACUGCACGUUGUGGUUUUGACGGAAGUCUUCCAGUCACUGGAUUCCAUCCAUCAGCAGACAUGUCGGGGCGUCUGUCGACUGUGGGAGGAUUAAAAUUUUCCGCAAGUUGCUCGGCAAGUUUGUGUAGCUAUGCCGCCACCGGUUUCAUAUUUGGAAACCUACCGUUGUAUCCUGAAGCAAGUUACCAGCGCCACACGGACAAUCUGUCUGCGGUACCAUGAAUACAAUCAGGAGAAAGCCUACACCCGACUGGACAGUGAUACACCGGCCGGACAAAUGAUGCAGUAUAUCAAAAGAGUCUUGCAAACUUUUGGCGUCCACAUUAAUCGUUUGGUGUUAUAACGGCGCUCGUUGCAGAUGCCGCAACAGACGUAUUCGCUGGCGGAAAAUAUUAACGACAUUGCGAACUUAUACUCGGGUCUGGCAUCAUGUUGUAACCGGAUUAUUUGGCAAAAAUAUUGCCUGAGCUACUCAAGUGUUUCGUUUGAGUUUUCUCGCGCUGUUAUCAGCCUAAAUCACCUUAAUGCUGCACAGCUAUGGGAAAUUUUUGAAGCGCAUUUAGACACCACCGUUAAGCCGGAAGAUCUGCCGAGCAUAUCGCGGUUGGUAACGGAUACAAUGGUAUCCUGCAUUAGGCAGUUAAACCAGAUAAAAAGAUGUAUUAUCCAGAUUCUCGAAAAAUGCCAAUGUGGUGAUCCGCGUUCAUCGGCCCAUUAUUGAAUUAUUCCAAUAUCACGUGGACGCUGGACAACCUGGGCAGUUUAGAUAUCACGAAGCUGAACAAAAUCUCCUUAAAAGGUGUAUCACUUUGUAUCCCAGGCAACGAUAACAAAUGUAUCCGCGGAAGCGUAGAUGCGUAAGAAGAAUUAUCCGAGGAGACUUUUCAGAAGAAAUUGACAGCCCGAGAACGGAUUCCAUGAAAGAGUAGAGUGGUAUUGGUGCUGCUGCUGUGAAAGCUAGCCGUGCCCGUGCACUUCUUAAUGUAGACAAUUGCUAUUAUGCCAGAUGCUUGAAAGAAUCCCUGUUUUGUGGUCCUUUGAGUUUUUGUUAUUUCGCGCAUUUUCCUAUAAUAUUAUCUUCAGUGAUAUCUCUUAGCGAGCAUGGUUGUGCUGUGUUCACCGGUUUAUGCGCAUUUUAAUUUGUAAACAUCUUGGA